CCCUUAGCACCAACUCAUCCAGCACUAUAAAGCCCAAAGUGGUAGUAAAGGGCAACGGUAUUCUCCACCUCUGCUAGCUCAAUCCACCUCUGCUAGCUCAAGAUCAUGGAGCGGGGAUCGUCCUCCCGGCGUGGGAUGCUGCAACCGCCUUCUCGUCGAAUCGACUCUUCGCCUAUGAUAUUGGGAGUCGCGGCAAGAAGCUCAACCAGAGGCUUGAUGCCAUCAAGAAGCUCAACCAGAGACUUGAUGCAAUCAAGAAGCACAACCAUAUGGAAAAUUUAUUGGUGCACGCCGGGGCUGUUCCAGAUUAUUUUCCAAGAUGGCCGUGCUCCAUCAGGUCUGGAGCUGGUGGCACCCCUGUCCUGUGUCUGCAUACUUCUAUUCAAGGCCAAUCUGUAAGCACUCUUAACGGUGAAAAUGCCUCUCUUCUCUGGAUACCAGGCAAUAAAGUCAUUCUCGUUUCUUCUGGAUGUCUGAAUUUUGGUGAUAGCUGCCACAUCUUCUGGUAUAAAGUAUUGCUGUAGGCGCUCUUCAUUCCAGGAACCAUUUGGUAGCAGGAAAUCUGCUACCCAUCUGUAUACCGCAUUAUAGAUAAGGAAUUGUGGCUAAUAAACAAAUUAUCCCUAUUUCCUAAUGGAUUGCACUUUUCAAGUUGCUUUUGUAGACUUAAUUUUUGAUCUCUAACGAAAUUUGUUAGAGCAAAUUAUCAUCAAGGCUUGCUUAGUAGUGUAGUUCAGCGGAGUACGAACACGUGCAUUGUUUCAUUUAUGACUGUUACUUGUUUCCAGGUUGUAAGGAUUUAUUUGACACCAUCUGGUCUUCAAAAUAUUGUUUAGGCAUACAAUUUGCUUGGUUCUACUCUAUUUGUUAUCCAUGGUUUGGACAAAUAUUCUAUGGGGGUGGUCCUAUCAAUGUGAUACGAUGUGAAGUAUUUGCUUAUGGUAUUUAUAAUGUUUUUCAUGUUUGUCUGUAGUUGACAGAUUAAUAUUCAGUUCUCAUACUUGCCGGCUGGUCAAUGUGAUUUGUUCUCCUUUUUGCUGCACCAGAAAAGAAAAAAAGUUAAUAAAUUAAUAUCAAGAUGAAUUUAUUUGGAUUUUUCUAAAGUUUAUUUAUAAUCUUUUUCCCAGCUAGCUAGUGCAGUACUACUUUUCAAAUGGUUUGUGAUACGGAUGUCAGACUGAAUCAUGUUCCUUUAUAGUUUUGUUCUUCAUGGCUUCGAGUUCCAGAAGUGAGGCAUUCUACAUGGUCAACACUAGUAGAGAGGUAAACUCUAGAACAACAGAUCUCUUCUCUUGUGUACCACGCACAAAGCCUAUUAAAAUAAUCUCACUUUUUGCUACUUCAAGCAUAGAUCCAUGACGUGAUAUCUCUAUGUUGCACAAAUAUGGCACAGUAGAUUAGCUACCUCUGAACCCCAAAAUGCCCCUAGACAUACAGUGGGACAGAAACAUAAAUUUUGACCAAAUAACUCUCAACCUGUGCACAUAGGAAACUAAUGUAUGGUGACACUCAGGUUUGGGUUUCUGAAUUUAUGGUGCAUGGUCCGUGUGGGGAGCUUAAAGCCAAAUUUGUUUGUAUGCAAAAAGGAAAAUGUUCCAAAAUUUUCAAAAAGAGUUUCAGGAGGAGACUGUCAUUGUUGAAAAUGGCUUUGCACUUUAUCGAUGUCACAACAAUGGUCGCCGUGCACUUAAGCAUUCUUGAUAAUCUGUGGGUGGUACUUGUAACAUGAUCAUGUUAAAAAAUACCAGUCCCAUAUGAAUGUGGAGUGGUGCAAUAAAACACAGGUUGGGUAUGAAAGUCUGCUGGAGUCACCCCCUGGCUUUGGGUCCCAAGAGCUUCAUUCAUCUGUAGUUGAUGAUCCAAAUUGUCCACUUGCUCCAUCUACUUUGAAGAUGAUAGAAAAGAGGCUGCUGUCGCAGAAAGUUCAGGCGGAUGCACAAUUCAAGACGAAGAAGGCCUAGCCCAGAAACAGAAACAGGAGUGUUCGCUUUUGGUAACACAUGUGGUGACUAGAUGUUCAUUCCGUGUUAUCUACGUACCUGAGGGUCUGAAGAUUGUACUCCUCCCUUUUGUAGCUGGCAUGUAAAUAUGAACGAGGUGCCCGUUGCAACAAUUCGCUUGUGCACCGCGUGUGGAUGUUUCUUCUACCGUUCCUUAGUGCCCGCCUUAUGUAUUUUGCUUUAUCCCAUAAUGGUUUUCUCAAGAAAAUGAAAGUUUCAAAUUCUUGGUUCA